rnacentral:rRNA from 1 species
UACGGAGGGUGCGAGCGUUGUCCGGAUUUAUUGGGUUUAAAGGGAGCGUAGGCGGAUUGGUAAGUCAGUGGUGAAAUCCUAUCGCUUAACGAUAGAACUGCCAUUGAUACUGCUGAUCUAGAGUACAGUUGCCGUUGGCGGAAUAUGACAUGUAGUGGUGAAAUACUUAGAUAUGUCAUAGAACACCGAUUGCGAAGGCAGCUAACGAAGCUGUAACUGACGCUGAGGCUCGAAAGUGCGGGGAUCAAACAGG